UCUAGCGUCGGCUAGAAGCCUUGAAGAAGUUUCCUCCAAAGGAUGAUUUAGAAUGUGGGUUCCCGUUUCUUAUUCCAAUGCCAUUUUAGCAAGAAGAUAUGCGCAUCUAUUUUCCUCACGCCAGGUUGUCUAAUUUCUGCCACCCAUCCUUCCUUACAAAGCUUUUCGCAAUCCCUAAUCAAAAUUUCCUCUUAUACAUCCCCCUUUUCCUCUUUAUUCAGAGCUUUCAUAAUCCACUUGGCAUCGACUUCGACUAUGACUUUCCUUACACCUAAGGACUUCGUAAGAAUGAGCCCUUGACGGUCGAAUUGUAAUUCUGGUGGUCGAGAUGCUUGUAAUCCCAAUCUGGAGCAUAAAUCCCCCGUUCCAGUCACAGUACUCCUUACAGAUUAAGCCCCCCGCCACCGCAAUUUCGGUGGUCGUUCUGCGCACGCCAUUCGUAUUCAAAACCCACAUCGCUUCGGGAUGCUUCAUCCAUCACACCCAAUUGGAGUUUUCUGGUAUUUGGGCAGUUUGAGCAAUGUCCAACCAUUUUGUUCAGUUUGAUCCUCUUUGCUGUCAGUUACCUCCCCUUCAUAAUCAGUUUCGACAUCAACCACCACCACAUCAUCGGAGGUUUUUCUUCUCCUAACUGGAUGUUCUCAAGAUGCUUUAGAGGACAACUUGCAGCCCUGUGUCCCUCUAUCCCACAAUGGAAGUAGAUCGAAUGGAUACCCUCAUAUUCGAUGUUAAAGAUCAUGAUGCCAACCUUGAUUUUGGAUAACAAAGGUUUAUUCAAGUCAAUCUCAAUGCAGAUGCAUGCGAAUCUUCUUCGAGUUGUCCACCCAGUGUGAUAGUCGAGUUUCACAGGAUUUUCAUCAUCUUCCACUGCCUCCUUUUCAUCGGAUUUGAUAUCUUCUUCUACUCCUGACGAACUUCGAAACAUACCCGUGAAGAGGGAGGAUUCCAAAACAAUGUCUCUCCGAGAUCUCGGAAUGUUUUCCUCAUUGGCUUCUUCUUGCGUAGGUCUAAUUCCCUUAUUGCUUCUGCCUGUAUCGUUCCUCGUUUCUUCUACCGGAGAUUCCCCUUGCAUGCUCCAAGAAC